UGUCACUGGCUCUCACUGCUGGGAGUGACUCCUGGGAGACAACAGACUGAGGCCUCUCUCCUACGUUCUGCUAGAGAACAACUCUCCCCCAGGAUAACACAGCUAAUAGCGGGUUAGCGUGGACAGACAGGCAGGGGAACAGAGAGAAAUAAUGUUUGGGUAAGGGUGCAAAACAGUGAUAUCAACACCCCAGCUCUCCAACCAUCGCAGGCUGUAGGUGUGCAAGGCAGUAUCUAAACAAAGAGCCUGCAGCCUCCAGAAGGUCAGCCAGAAACCACACUUAGUUGCCAGCAGCAAGGAAGUAUUUGGGGCCAACCAGGUAGCAAACACCAUCCAAACAGGCUCUUACUAACUGGGAGGCAGAGAGGAGCACGCAAGCCCCACCAUGGUACUAGUGAUGGUGGUGAUGAUAGGCAAGGCUGAGGUGGAAGUCCCACACCAUGAGUCAGAGGGAUGGGGAGAAUCUGCCCCAAGCAGCUGCAGCCUUCAGACACACGUGGGCUGAGUGUUUCUUGAUUACAGAUAAUUCAAUUCAUGUGGGGAUGAAGAGGGAAAAACAAUAAAAUGAAGGUUUCAGAAGGGCCUAGGUUUCUAUGUUCUGGUCUUGUAGCUGGUGGCCUGGGAGAUGCUUUGGGUUCUGGAAGCUAAGGCUGCUCCUGGAACCUCUCAAACAGCGGCAGAAUACAAAUCAGCCCACCCCAUGCACAGACGGCUGGGAUCCUUUGAGACUCUUGUUUUAUGGAUGAAAUAAAUUCAGCCAAUGGGGAAUGGAAGGCACUAUUGCAGAGCAGCACAGGCCCUGUCUACCUUGGUGAUGUUCCCAUUGCUGCAGCGUGAAGCCCUCAGGAGCAACACUGAUUGCUUCAGCACUGCGUCCUGCCUGCUCCAUCCCUGGGCUGUGGCAGUGCACGAGCAGAGUGACUGGGGAACAGCAUCACUGUUGAUGUGAAUUACUGGAGAAUUACCAUUAUUUCCGGCACAGCUACAGUGUAAUCCCCACAAAUAACUAUACAGCUGAUUCACAUAAACCCUGUUAUUGUCCUUCAGAUGUUUUCUGGCUGUGGUUGUGAGGAGUUCUGUAGGUGUGCGUUAACAAAAUUAAAGCUUUAUUGUUUAGCCAAAGUCAGAAAUCCCACUGAUACCACUGAUUCAACCCUUGCUGGUUUAUUCACACAAGACAGGCUCCAUUUAAGUGAAAGCACACAUGGGUAAGAAGCCUUUAGCCAGUGAAAUUCCAGGGGAUGCACAGGGCUUCAGCCUUCUCAUGGGCAGAGUGGGGCAGGGAUCCUGAGGGACAUCCAGAGCUCUCAUACAGGAGAACAGAGACCACAUCAAGCUAGAUGGAGUGUCUGUGUAACUGUCUAGUGGGAAAUAGGAACAACAAAAGCCACUUCUAUCAUUCUCACAAUUUGCUCCAGUUUAGAAUGAUGCUGAAAAGGGAGUUAUCUGGUUUUCAAGGUGCAUAUUCUGUCCUUUCACCUACCUACCAGUAAGGCACAGUACAGGGUACUCAGCCCAACGCUCUGGCUUGGACUGGAGGUAAAACAUCACACUCUAUUGCUUGAAUAACCCACAGUGAAGAUUAGAGAAAUGAACGAUAAAACUGUUCCAGCUUGUCCUCAGUGGAUGGAAAGUAAUGAAAAUAUC
rnacentral:lncRNA from 1 species